ACAGUGAUCCACAUUGACAGUGACAUCACUACUCAACUAACGGGUGGGACUUCGCAGGCUUUCUCAUUCCAGCAGUGUGCUGUGGAUAUUGAAUCACUACCUAACUGUCAAGAAAAUGUGCCUGGUACUUGGUGGCAACUGCCUUGUCAAACAAUAAUAAUGCACUUUUGUGCCUGAACUUUAUUCCUGAGAAUGAAACAGAAUCCGUUGCAGAGUCUGCUCGACGUUGGAUCUGUGCAUAUGUUGAUUCCGGAUGGUGCGAUCUGCUGAAUGUAGCGGGAACAGGGGCCACUUGUUGGGGCUAACACAAGAGACAGCAGAGUAUGAAGCCCACAGUGGACCGUGGACUAGGAUGUGCCAGUAAACCUCUGAGUCGGGCUUGAGUGGAACUUGGAGGAUUUGUAUUCAUAGAACUUCAAAUUUAGUGUGAACCAGGACGCUGACCAUGGAGACAGAGCUGAGCACUGGUCUCUCUGCAUGGACCAUCAUGGCCAUUGUGUGUAACUCUGUAGUGGGCAUCCUCACCCUUAUCCUCUUCGUCAUCCUCUACAAGGCCUGCAAGGUGCCCUCUUGCCAAGAGAGGUCAGCAGUGCUGACAGUAGCCCGGGAGCAGAAAUGAGGGGCGAGCAGAAAUGCUUACUGACUACAGCCUGAUGAUGGACAGACAGAGGAAAAACACUUCUUGGCCAAACAGACUGCCACUGACUGUUAACUAACACAAUGAGUGAACACUAAAAAAACUAUGUUUCGGGGUCCUUAUCUGUCAAGACAUUCUCUCCAUCGAUCUCUCUAUCACCCCCCUCUCCACACCUCUUUCUUUCUGCCUCUCUUUGUCUCUCCCUACCACAUUACGUAAACAAAAACACCAGCAUAAAUCCUCUUAUCUCCUUGGCUCUGCUCUGGGACUGUCCAUCUGUCAGUCUGUUUAUACUCAGCAGUCUGGCCUCCCCCUGCUCAUCUGCACUAAACCACAAUCUGGGGAAUGAGGAAAAGGGUAAAUGAGAAAGGAAAUGAGGAGAGAGAGAGGGAGUGAUAGAGGGAAAGAGAACAGCCCUCAUCUCAUCAGAGACAACUUGAUGUUGACUUACUGGAGAAAUAAUGAUGCCAGGGAUAGUGAAAUAGACCACAAGAGAGACAGAGCAGAAAGGGAGAUAGAGAGAUUGAUGAUGCCAGAGAUAGUGAAAUAGACCACAAGAGAGACAGAGCAGAGAGGGAGAUAGAGAGAUUGAUGAUGCCAGAGAUAGUGAAAUAGACCACAAGAGAGACAGAGCAGAGAGGGAGAUAGAGAGAUAUAUGAUGCCAGGGAUAGUGAAAUAGACCACAAGAGAGACAGAGCAGAGAGGGAGAUAGAGAGAUAGAUGAUGCCAGGGAUAGUGAAAUAGACCACAAGAGAGGCAGAGCAGAGAGGGAGAUAGAGAGAUAGAUGAUGCCAGGGAUAGUGAAAUAGACCACAAGAGAGACAGAGCAGAGAGGGAGAUAGAGAGAUAGAUGCGGAACAAAGGACAGACGUGAAAGGGGAAGAGGGAAAAUGAUGUUUUGAUGAGGUGUUGUUUACUAAAAGAACGCUCAAGGCAAACUGUGACUUCGAAGUCUCCAGCACCCACAGAUCAACUCUCAAGGGUUUAUGAAAAACAACGACUGAGGGAAAUGAAAGGAACACUUUCAUAUGUCUGUCUGCCACUGAAUGGGCUCCUAUAAAACACAAAAGUAUUGUUAUUUAUAGACAAGCUUCCAAAGGAGUGACACUCAAAGAGAUAAUGAGACUCAAUGUGACUAUUUUAAAAAGUCUCCUGCAGCUAACGGUGGUGUGACGCAGAAAAUCAAAAUUACUUCCUGAAACAGAUGGAUCUACCAUGUACUGUGCCAUGUCAUUCAGCAUUCCAUACAUGUAAUUAUGACGGUGAUGCUGUUCUGUAAGAAUCAUGGACAUGGACAUUUUCAUUGUAUUUUUUAUUAACUCAAUAAAAUGUUUUACCUUUGUGUA